rnacentral:rRNA from 1 species
UGACGAGUUUGAUCCUGGCUCAGAUUGAACGCUGGCGGCAGGCCUAACACAUGCAAGUCGAGCGGGAACUUCGGUUCUAGCGGCGGACGGGUGAGUAAUGCGUAGGAAGCUACCCGAUAGAGGGGAUACCAGUUGGAAACGACUGUUAAUACCGCAUAAUGUCUACGGACCAAAGUGUGGGACCUUCGGGCCACAUGCUAUCGGAUGCGCCUACGUGGGAUUAGCUAGUUGGUGAGGUAAUGGCUCACCAAGGCGACGAUCCCUAGCUGGUUUGAGAGGAUGAUCAGCCACACUGGAACUGAGACACGGUCCAGACUCCUACGGGAGCAGCAGUGGGGAAUAUUGGACAAUGGGCGCAAGCCUGAUCCAGCCCAUGCCCGCGUGCAGGAUGACGGUCCUAUGGAUUGUAAACUGCUUUUGUACGGAACGAAAAGGUCUCUCUUAAUACGGGAGCUCAUGACGGUACCGUAAGAUAAGCACGGCUAACUACGUGCCAGCAGCCGCGGUAAUCUGA